AGGUGUUGUUGUACCGGUGGGUUGCUCUUGGUGGUGAUGCAUGCCAGAGUUGAUCUAUUCAUGAGAUUCUCUAUGGAAGAAUAGAUAAAUCAUGCUCGAGGACACCAGCACACCAGCACGUACAGGCAUACGCAUACUUUGUUUCUUUCUUAGUACCAGGAUUAGGGGUAGUGGCCAUGCCUAAGGCGACUUCCAGUGUGGACCACAUUGCAAGUGGCGGCGGCGAUUUUGCAGAGCUUUGGCUCAAGUCAUUUUAUCCCUGUUUGGCGGUGUCCUUUCUUCAAGCAGGUUGCAUUCGGAGCAUGCUACAGGCAAUGGCGGAGAUUUUAAACAACUUGGGCUCAAAGCAUGGCAUCUGUGUUUGGCGGUGUCCUUUCUUCAAGCAAAUAAAUAUGUUUGUCUGAGGUGUUUGAUGAGGCUCUACGUGGUAGCCAUCCAACGUGACGUGUAGUGUUGUCCGGGCUUGAAGUCGUCUUUCUGGACCCGCCGCCUCCUCACCUACACCAGGUAGUCCAUGGUGGCUAGAGCAUCGGCACACCUGGACGAGACUGCAUCUCCCAGAACACUCUUUUGAAGGAGAGAUCAUUCAGCUUCUUUUUAUCACAGAAACACUCAAAACUAAGACCAUGAGGUAUUUGCAUAGACUGGCGUAACCGUCGAAAAAAUCAUUUUUUCUGGAGGUUCUUUUGCCAAUGCUUACUUCUGUGGAGCUUCAGCUUAUGCCAACUGGUCUAAUAGGAACAAAAUCGUGUAUCAUCCUUACAUACAAGCAUGGAAAGGAACAAAAUUUAUCUGGCCUUGAGGAUACGUGAUCAGUGGAUAUAUGCAGCUGCUUAUCAGUGGCUGUUGCCUUGUAGUCAUCCUCUGGGAUGGCUACGGCAUGAUGAGUACGGUGCCGGUGUGAGGUGCUCAGGCUGGUAGAUUUUGUUUUGGAAAUGUUCUGGGCGAUCGCUCUUCAUUUCAAAUGGGAUGGAGAUAAGCUAAAAAAAAAUCGAACAUACUACCGUCACGGUUCAUUGCUUAAUCAGUUGGAUUGUAGGUAAGAAUCUGUCCGUGUUUAGAUGUUUUGCUCGGUGCAUUUUGUUAUACGAUUUUUCAUUAAGUCUCAUAGUUCAUUUUGCGCCAUUGACUUCUAUAUAACCAUUGGCUUUGACUAAGGGUGCCUCCAACUGCUUUCUGUUGCUGAUAUGUCUAUAGUUGGUGACUCAUGCUUCCUAGCGAAGAAUAUGGUGAUUAGUGCAUGAUCCCUCCAGCACGCAGGAGGUCGUCAUGCAGAUUUGGUCUUUUGUUUGAUAAGAAAAGGUAUCAUUUGGACACGGGCAGAGGAGGUACAUUAGUGUGCAUUCAUUCUGUUAGCUAUGGUCAAUCGCAUACACAAAUAGUUUCUAUUAGCUUACUUAAUUAAUGUUCUUCUUUUCCAUUUAUUUGAUAUACUAAUCUCCAUUGUUUUUCAUUAAAUGGGAAGUGUAUAUUUGGAUAUUAUUUCCCUUAAAAGGGGAAUAUUUUGCUCAGAGAGAAUGGAAAUGGCGGGCGUUACAGUUAAAAAAACAGUUCAACCUAAUUGUUUCACUACUACCAUAUUUUUUUCUCUGUAAUCAUGUAAAUAUUAGAGUCAAUCUACUUUUAAUUGUUCUGUAUUUAUUUCUUACAGUUUGUUUUACUUAUUAAUCAUGACUUCAGGCCUAGAUUUUCAAUGGCAACUGUACUAUUUGUGCACAGACCAGGUAUGGACGAGUCAAGGACAUGUUGUCCACACGUUCAAGAAAUUUCUAUGAGCGACGCUCCGAAAAAAUCUGAAUAUAGCGUAAGUGAGUAAAUACUUAUCUUGAAUAAUAAGAUUGGACGCUCACCCAUGUCCUUUUUUGUUUACUUUUUAUUUAUAAAUUUGUCCAGUGUAACGAUUCUUCUCUCUACAAAUCCAAAAUUCGCUAAUCUCUUGAUUAACUAAAUAUUUAUUCUCUUCCUUUCUAUAUUCAGUAAGUAAAGCAUAUGAUUUAUCUGUCCAUGACAAUGAGGUAUUGGAAGCUCUAAGCUUGUGUGCACUACCAUUCAAUUUCUCCUGGUUUUCUUUGUGUAGUAUUUUGCAGGGAGUACAUGCAGAAUAUGUAUUUCCUGUAUAUGUUUUAUUUAUAGAACGUGAAUCAGUUCCUUUUAUUUACCUCAUGUAGCCUGAUGCAGUUAUUGUCAAGGGCAUAUAGGGCUCUCAUAGGACUGAUGCAAGAAAGUGAAGAGAAACAACAAGUUUUCUAUUGUAAAACACUCCAUUGCCACAUUCUCGCUCUGCACCAUCGUAUCCGCUAAUGUUAAUAAACUCAAUCUUCUAUUAGUAUAUGCGAUGCAUUUACGGGUUUGGAUUUCAUAUACUGAUAUACAUGCUAAUAUAUGUGAUGAAUGUAUGGGUUGGGUCUGCAAAAGAAAGAUCAACGCUAACUGUGCUUUACACUAAAAAACAAAUCUUUAAGAACUUUAUUAAAGAGGAACCGUUGUUUUGGUUUAGGUGUAGGAAAACAUAUUUGCUACUUGAAAGAGUAAUCUGGUCAUUUGUUAUUUUAUUUUUGGAUAGUGCAAGCUGAUUAGUGGAUAGUUCUCAUUGACUUUAUAGAUCAUGACUCAAACUGGGUACCUUUCUUAGGACAAUUGUCUAUCCUUUCCCGGGAUGGAGUUACUUAAAUUCACUAUCAAAGAUACUUGGAGAGACACAUAACUUAUGUGGUUAAUCAUAGAGAUGUUAAAGAUCUGUUCCGUACAAUAUAAGAUGGAUAUAACUUAGGUGAAUCCAUCUUUAACUAUUUACUUGAAAUGCAUAAUAUACCAGUGUUGGAUUAUGGUAUCUGCGUCACUUUUUAGUUCCUUGCAGUAUUGUUGGAUUCCUUUUUUCAUAAAAAAGUACAUGUCACCCCGUUAAAUUAAUCAAUAUUGUAUCUAUAGGAAAACAGACCAUGGUGUCUGCUGUCAUCUGCGAGCUGCUUGACAUGGAGUCCAUGCCAACAACAAGAUGCACUUCGGCGGCAUCGGCUCCAAACUAAAGGCUUGGAUCAUGUGGCAGAUUUGAGUUUUCUCUGAUCAUGUGGUAACUUGUGGAAGGUUUUAGAGGUCAGGACGCUUCGUGCUUGAAACUAUAGAAUAACAACUCAAAAUGUAAAGCACAUUCAGUUUGAGCAAAUAAAUAGGCUCUCAUGUAGUCAUGUUAAAAUAUAUUGAUUUGGCAUGCUACAACAUCAAGAUUUAUUCAUGAUAUUCUUGAGCAUCAAUUUUAGAACAUAGUUAAGUUACCCGUCUUUUUUGUUAAUGGGUAGCUCUGAAAAAAUAUAGGUCACUAUUUCUUGCAAAACAUUCUCACACCUUUGUCUAUCUGAUGCAUAAUUAUGGAACGCUGUUUCUUGCGCAACUUCUUCAAUCUUCGAUGCUUAAUUAUGGAUCAUUGUUUCUUGCAAUUCUUCUUCACGCUUUUUUUCUGUAUAAUUAUAAUUAUGCAUCAUUAUUUCUUGCAUAACUUAUUCACGUUUUUUUGUCUAUCUAAUGCUUCAUUAUGGAUCAUGCCGCUUGCAUACCUUAGCUCCUACUCUGGCAAUACCUCUGCAGGAUACAAUUAUGUGUUGCUUCCUGAUUACAGAAGGGGCAUAGAGAAGAUAUGGCUUCUUAACCUUGCUGGCCCAUUCUCUGUCAACUACGGAGAAGAUACCCAAGGAAAUCUAUCUCCAAGACAUUGGAUGGUAUUGGAGGAGGAAGAAGGUUUGGCUGGAGCACCUGAGCCGUGGCAACCAUGAAGGAGCUGCUGAGACAUUGGAUGGUAUUGGAGGUGGAAGAGAAGGUUUGGCUGGAGUACCUGAUGAGCUGUGGCAGCCAGGAAGGAGCUGGUGCUGCACGAAGGCGGAGCUGGAGAAUGCAGAGACGGUGGAAAUGGAGUCGUAGCCUGCUCAAAUACAGGACCAACUAUUACAAAAUAAGAGAUGCUCCCUGUUAGUACAUAUGUGAAUAAUCCUUUUGGUUUCUGUACAAGGUAUCUUCCUAGCUAUUACAUAUGAAUUGGUAUAUUGCAUACUAACGAGAGAUUUGAUAAUUUUUAAUGAUGUGUUACUCA